rnacentral:rRNA from 1 species
GACGAACGCUGGCGGCGUGCCUAACACAUGCAAGUCGAACGGAGUUGAAAGGAGCUUGCUUUUUUCAACUUAGUGGCGGACGGGUGAGUAACGCGUGAGUAACCUGCCUUUCAGAGGGGGAUAACGUUCUGAAAAGAACGCUAAUACCGCAUAAGAUUGUAGUUUCGCAUGGGACAGCAAUCAAAGGAGCAAUCCGCUGAAAGAUGGACUCGCGUCCGAUUAGAUAGUUGGCGGGGUAACGGCCCACCAAGUCGACGAUCGGUAGCCGGACUGAGAGGUUGAUCGGCCACAUUGGGACUGAGACACGGCCCAG